rnacentral:rRNA from 1 species
CAGCCGCCGCGGUAAUACAGAGGGUGCAAACGUUGUUCGGAAUUACUGGGCAUAAAGAGCACGUAGGUGGCGCGCUAAGUUACGUGUGAAAUCCCCCGGCUCAACCGGGGAAUUGCGCGUGAUACUGGCGCGCUUGAGGCGGGUAGGGGUGAGCGGAACUCCAGGUGGAGCGGUGAAAUGCGUAGAUAUCUGGAGUAACACCGGUGGCGAAAGCGGCUCACUGGACCCGAUCUGACACUGAGGUGCGAAAGCUAGGGUAGCAAACGGGAUUAGAUACCCCGGUAGUCCUAGCCGUAAACGAUGGGCACUGGGCAGGGGGGAUACCUAUGUCCUCUCUGCCGGAGCUAAUGUGUUAAGUGCCCCGCCUGGGGAGUACGCUCGCAAGGGUAAAACUUAAAGGAAUUGACGG